rnacentral:tRNA from 1 species
CUGGCUAGCUUAGUUGGUAGAGCGCUCCACUGGAAAUGGAGAGGUUCCUUGUUCAAUACUAGGACCAGA